rnacentral:rRNA from 1 species
GAUGAACGCUGGCGGCGUGCCUAAUACAUGCAAGUCGAGCGAACGGACGAGAAGCUUGCUUCUCUGAUGUUAGCGGCGGACGGGUGAGUAACACGUGGAUAACCUACCUAUAAGACUGGGAUAACUUCGGGAAACCGGAGCUAAUACCGGAUAAUAUUUUGAACCGCAUGGUUCAAAAGUGAAAGACGGUCUUGCUGUCACUUAUAGAUGGAUCCGCGCUGCAUUAGCUAGUUGGUAAGGUAACGGCUUACCAGGGCAACGAUGCAUAGCCGACCUGAGAGGGUGAUCGGCCACACUGGAACUGAGACACGGUCCAGACUCCUACGGGAGGCAGCAGUAGGGAAUCUUCCGCAAUGGGCGAAAGCCUGACGGAGCAACGCCGCGUGAGUGAUGAAGGUCUUCGGAUCGUAAAACUCUGUUAUUAGGGAAGAACAUAUGUGUAAGUAACUGUGCACAUCUUGACGGUACCUAAUCAGAAAGCCACGGCUAACUACGUGCCAGCAGCCGCGGUAAUACGUAGGUGGCAAGCGUUAUCCGGAAUUAUUGGGCGUAAAGCGCGCGUAGGCGGUUUUUUAAGUCUGAUGUGAAAGCCCACGGCUCAACCGUGGAGGGUCAUUGGAAACUGGAAAACUUGAGUGCAGAAGAGGAAAGUGGAAUUCCAUGUGUAGCGGUGAAAUGCGCAGAGAUAUGGAGGAACACCAGUGGCGAAGGCGACUUUCUGGUCUGUAACUGACGCUGGUGUGCGAAAGCGUGGGGAUCAAACAGGAUUAGAUACCCUGGUAGUCCACGCCGUAAACGAUGAGUGCUAAGUGUUAGGGGGUUUCCGCCCCUUAGUGCUGCAGCUAACGCAUUAAGCACUCCGCCUGGGGAGUACGACCGCAAGGUUGAAACUCAAAGGAAUUGACGGGGACCCGCACAAGCGGUGGAGCAUGUGGUUUAAUUCGAAGCAACGCGAAGAACCUUACCAAAUCUUGACAUCCUUUGACAACUCUAGAGAUAGAGCCUUCCCCUUCGGGGGACAAAGUGACAGGUGGUGCAUGGUUGUCGUCAGCUCGUGUCGUGAGAUGUUGGGUUAAGUCCCGCAACGAGCGCAGCCCUUAAGCUUAGUUGCCAUCAUUAAGUUGGGCACUCUAAGUUGACUGCCGGUGACAAACCGGAGGAAGGUGGGGAUGACGUCAAAUCAUCAUGCCCCUUAUGAUUUGGGCUACACACGUGCUACAAUGGACAAUACAAAGGGCAGCGAAGCCGCGAGGUCAAGCAAAUCCCAUAAAGUUGUUCUCAGUUCGGAUUGUAGUCUGCAACUCGACUACAUGAAGCUGGAAUCGCUAGUAAUCGUAGAUCAGCAUGCUACGGUGAAUACGUUCCCGGGUCU